AAGAUAAUUGGCAGUUACAGAGCACUGAUGAGCACCCACAUUCUCUCUACCGAUGGUGAAAUUUUAACCUCUUGCCACAAGAAUCUCUUCUCUAUACCAAACUGAUAUGCUAAUUUUUGUACAUGGAUACCUCUGAAGUUGCCACAACUCGGAAGAGGAGUGCUGCUGGUACCUACUACCCAGAGGCCAGGAAGGCUACAAAUAUCCUGCAAUGCCCAGGACGGCCCUCCACAGCAAAGACUCAUCCAGCCCCAAAUCUCAGUAAUUUCACUGUCAAG